AUUACUACACAAAUAUUGCACCAUACCAUUCGAGGUUCUAACUACCAGCCAAUCUUACUAUUGUUGUAAUUCUUUUGGAAAAGGAGCAUCAUCUUGCAAUGAAGGACUUGGACUUCGAUUGCCUCUUUUUUUGGGGUUGAAUUCUGUAGACGAAAUCGACGAGGACUAUUUGACAGAGCUAACAAAGGAUAUAACGGAAUGGCAACGAUAUUGCUAAUUAGCAAAAUGCGACAUGAGGAACUAUUAUCAUGAACAACACCGACAGAUUGAGAGAUAUCCUUUCGCUAGGAAUGAACACACGUUUACAUUAGUGACCAUUCAAGGUAAUGGCCAACUCUGCUACUAGGAAUUUCAAAUGUACCUAGCAAUGUUGAGACAUUUUGUACAUAUUUUUCGUGACGUGUACAAACUUAAGAGUGGCCAGCAGGUUGAUGUGUACAAGCAAGUAGGUAUGUUUUUGUGUAUAUUAGCUCAUGGAAAAUGGUACAAGCAUGUACAGAUGUCAGGGGUGGGCAUGGGCUGAGUUAGGUUUUUACUCAACCCAAACCUAACCCAACCUGAUUACGCAUUGAAACCCAACCCAACCCAAUCAAGUUCGGUCGGGUUGGAUUGGGCAAUUUGAAGUUUAACUUUUGUCCCGAUCCACAAUGAAGACAGGAAAAUAGAGACCGCCACCUGUUAAGAUUUACAAGUACCAUAUAAAUGGUCCUGAUUCUGGACAUAAAAGUCUCGUGACUUUUUGAACAAAAGCAAGAAAAGUUAUUUUUAGUACUUGUAUGAAAUUGGCAUCCAAAUUUUAAAUACAAACAAUUAGAUCCUCAAUUUUAUAAUACAAUAGUAGACGGUUCGGGUCAGUUUCUAUUUGGCAGGCCACAUUUUGGAUUGAGUCGAGGCUUGAGAUGAGGAAGAAAUAUUUCUUAUUAUGUUAUUUUUCAUUAUAAAUGAAGAUUUUUUUAUUAUUAUUAUUCAAAAUAUUUUUCAUCUAACCCGACCUAUAUUGAACGAAACAGCCCCCACUGACCACGACAUUUAUUCACCAACGACAAAGAAUCAACAGGAAAAAAGCCAUUACCUAUCUACCUUGGCGACAAUCGAGGGCAACUCAAGUCUCCAAGAGCCAGGAGCAAGGGUUGCGGUCUAAUUUCAAGUGGGUGGAAACGGUAUAGGUGCUGGACUGAUGAGUGUCGACGAUUUGAUGAGAGACGAUGAUGUUAGAAAAUUCAAAUUAGAUCCAAAUAUCCUAGAUCAAAAUAACUUAAAUCCUAGGAUCAACAUCAUGCCAAAUUACUAGCAUUUAUAAAUUUGGAUUAUAUACAUGUAUCCAUUAUGAACGAUUGUCUACUGUUGCAGAAUUACUGCGACAAUCAACCACGUACUUAUGAAUCCAAAUGAAGAGAGUGGUUUUGUGAUUUUCUUCAACCAAAUCGCCUUAUUCCUCAAUGGGACCGUGAUUUCUCUUCUUGAUUGGGAGAAGGGAAAAAAUAUGUGAUUUGGUAUAUUGGGGACCAUAACCGAAAUAACCUUUAUAUACUGCUUAAUUAAGGUCCCCAUUAUCCCUCAAUUAGAGCAAUAUUGACCGGUAUCCACUCAAUUAGCCCACAUUAAUUUGAGAAGUCUAUGGGCAUACCAAAAUAGACUACUUGAUUUUGCCCAUUAUAUUAAAUAGCUAAUAUAAUUGUAUUAAUAUGUUGCCAUAUUAAGUUAGAAAAAUCGUGUUUUCCUAACAAUCUCCCACUUGGCUACAUAUUAUUCCUUAAACAAUUAUAUUACAAAUUUCGUAGGCGCGCAUUUGUAUGUUAUUUAUCCUUAGACCGCUCCUUAAACAAUCUUGUCCAUCUCAUAUAUUAAUAACGGAACCACCACAACUUUCAUCACAAUAUAUUUGUGAUUAAACCACGAUGAUCACCAUAUUAAUACACUUAAUGACAUAGAUCAAAUAUGGAUGAGUAGCAUGGAAAUUUACAUGAAAUGUGAUCUCAAAAGAUGCCUAUUUUCAACUGGUCUUUCUUUAGUCUUUAGUGAGAUCAUUCCAAAGUCCUUAAUGCAAUGCAAACAUUGCACAAUGAAAAUACAAGUAAACUCAGAAAUAGAAUUUUAUACUGCAGAAGGUUAAAUAAUUCAAUGUUUAAAGCAAACAUAUAGAACAUGAAAUUGACUCCCACUAGACCAGAAUAUCCUCGGAAAUAACGCACAUGUGAGCAGUGUGCUCAUGAAAGACCUUAGGCGUUAAGCCCUUGGUUUGUGGGUCUGCUAGCAUGGAAUUUAUUCCUAUAUGUUCUAUGAAAAUCUAUUUAUCUUAAACUCUCUCCUUAAAAACUAGAAACUUGAUAUCAAUAAAUUUCGACUUUGUCAAACUCCUAUUGUUGUAGGAGUAAAGCACCGCUGAGUUAUUUUCACAAUAAAUCUUUAAUGGCCUGUCAAUGCCAUCUAUCACUCGUAGUCUAGUGACAAAGUUUUGUAUCCAUAUUCCAUGGUUGGAUGCCUCAUAACAAGCAAUGAAUUCCGCAGCCAUGGUUGAAGAAGCUAUGAGAGUCUGUUUAGCAGAUUUCCAUGAGAUAGCUUCUCCAGCCAACAUAAAGACGUAGCCUGAUGUGGAACGUCUGCUAUCUUGACAUCCUGCAAAAUUAGAGUCAAAGAACCCGAUGAUCUCUAAACUGUCUGAUCUCCGAUAAGUGAGCAUGUAGUCUUUUGUUCUCCUCAAAUAACGUAUCAUGCGUUUGGCUGCUUUCCAAUGUUGCAUGCCAGGAUCAUUCAAGUAUCUACCCAAAACUCCCACUAUAAAUGCUAUGUCAGGACGAGUACAAAUUAGAGCGUACAUUAGACUCUCUACCACUGAAGCAUAGGGAAUCUUCUGCAUCUCUUCUCUUUCAAGAUCAUUAUUGGGGCACUGUUUUAGACUAAACUUAUCUCUCUUAGAUAUGGGCGUGUCUCCUGGUCUACUAUCUUUCAUGCCGAAUAUACUCAAAAUCUUAUCCAUAUAGCUCUUUUGUGACAGUCUAAGGAUAUCUCGAGAACGAUCUCUCAGUAUUUGAAUACCCAAUACAAAAGAGGAAUCCCAAGAUCUUUCAUCUCGAAUUUCUUCGUCAAAAAUUUCUUGGUUUCAUGCAGUAAGCCUAUAUUGCUGCUAGCGAGUAGAAUAUCAUCAACAUAUAAUACCAAGAAGAUAUAUUUACUCCCACUGAACUUAUGAUAUACACAGUCAUCAACAACAUUUGCCUCAAAACGGUACGAGGUAAUGAUUUGAUGAAACUUGUGAUACCAUUGACGGGAAGCUUGUUUGAGACCGCUGAUGAAUUUCUUCAACUUACAAACCAUAGACUUUGGAUCUCCUGAUACAAAGUUUUCUGGUUGUACCAUGUAAAUUAUCUCAUCAAUGUCUCCAUUGAGAAAGGCAAUCUUGACAUCCAUCCGAUGUAGCUCUAGAUCAAAAUGAGCCACUAGUGUCAUUAUUGUUCUAAAAGAGUCUUUCGAAGAUACCGGAGAGAGUCUCUUUGUAGUUUAUGCCUUCUUUUUGAGUAAAGCCUUUAGCGACUAGACGAACUUUAUAUCUCUCGACAUUGCCUCUUGAAUCUCUUUUGGUUUUAAAUAUCCACUUACAACCAAUGUGUUUCACACCUUUAGGCAACUCGACGAGAUCCCAAACGUCAUUGUCUUUCAUAGACUUUAUCUCAUCUUUCGUGGCAUCAAUCCACUUCUGAGAGUUAGAACUGCGCAUAGCCUGAUGGAAGUUGAUCGGGUCAUCCUCCGUUAAACCAACGCCAUCCUCAUGUUAUUGAAGAAAGAUGAUAUAAUCAUUUGGAAUCGCAUUUCUUCUCUCCCUUGUAGAUCUUCUUAAUAGUACUUCUUGAGGUUGUUGAGUUUGUUCUAUAGGUGGUGCUUGAAGAAGAAUCUCAUUGUUGUCUUGGUCUAAAACAAUGUCAGGGAUAGGAGCCUGAACAUUGUCAUCUAUUGCCAGAACCGUGUCUUGAACAACAAUAAGUACAGAGACCUGAUUGCUGUCAAUAACAUAUUCUUCUUCAAAGACAACGUUCCUUAUGUUUCCUUCCCCUCCAAACUCAAUAUCUUUAGGGAAUCUCGCAUUUCCCGUUUCAAAGAAUGAUCUUGAUGUGGGAUCGUAAAACUUAUAGCCCCGAGAGCGUUCAGCGUAACCAACGAAAUAGCAGCUAACCGUCAUUGAGUCCAGUUUUCUUUCAUGUGGUCUAUAAGGCCGUGCCUCAGCUGGACAACCCCAAAUGUGCAAGUGCUUAAUGCUAGGCUUCUUGCCUAUCCAUAGCUCAUAGGGUUUUUUGGCAACUACCUUGCUUGGUACCCUGUUAAGGAUGUAAACUGCAGUCUUCAAAGCUUCUCCCCAAAGUGACUCUGGCGAGGAGGAAUGACUCAUCAUACUCCUUACCAUAUCCUUAAGAGUUUGGUUUCGUCGCUCUGCAACACCAUUCAUGCUGGGUUUGCCCGGCAUGGUGUAUUACGGAACAGUGCCACACUCAUUGAGGAAAAUAGCGAAGGGUCCUGGACGUUGUUCUCCUGAUCCAUCAUACCUUCCAUAGUAUUCACCACCACGAUUAGAUUUGAUAGCCUUUAUUUUCUUUCCAAGUUGAAGUUCAACUUCAGCUUUGAAAGACUUGAAAACAUCCAGGGAUUGAGACUUCUCGUGUAUUAAAUAUAGGAAACCGAAUCUAGAGUAAUCGUUUAUGAAUGUAAUGAAGUAUUGUUGUCCAUUCCAAGAAGUCGUAGGGAAUGGGCCACAGAUAUCAGUAUGUAUCAGUUCUAAGACGUCUGUAGCUCUCUCGGCACCUAAUUUUCUCAUGUUUGUUCUUUUUCCCUUGAUGCACUCAACACAAACAUGGAAGUUUGUUAAAUCUAGGGGUUCAAGAAUUCCAUCCGACACAAGCCUCUGAAUUCUCUACUUAGAGAUAUGACCUAAACGCUCUUGCCAUAAAGUGGCAGAAUUCUCACUUAAUUUUCAUUUUGUACCAUUGAACUUGUUUGCAGUAUUUCGUUAUAGGAAUUAACUAACAAUAUCAAGUAUAUACAUAUUAUCAAUCAUAUAACUGGAACCAAAAAAAUUUGAAUUUUGAUAAAGACUAACUUUAUUAUUUCCAAAUGAACAAGAAAAUCCUGAUUUGUCCAAACCAGAAAUAGAAAUUAAAUUCCGUCUAAAGGACGGUGCAACAAAUGUCUCAAACAAAUCCAAAUAAAACCCAGUUUUUAAUUGUAAUCUGAAAGUCCUUAUAGCCUCUACCGCAACUUUAUUGCCAUCGCCCACAAAGAGAAAUCUUUCUUAAUCACUUGGUGGUCGGCUCCACAGGCAAUCCUGCAUGGACAUACUUAUGUGAGUAGUAGCACCAGAAUCUAUCCACCAAGUAUCCUUAGGUACAGAAGCUAAAUUAACUUCAGAACAAACUAAUGUUAGAAGCAUACCAUUCUUUACACGCCAGGCAGCGUACUUGAGACACUCCUUCUUCAUGUGUCCCGACUUCUUGCAGAAGUAGCAGGUAAACUCCUUAUCCUGCUUCUUUUGCUUCUUCUGCUGAGAAGUUCCUUCCACAGCAUCCUUUGCUCUCUUCUUUUUCUUGUUCUGAGAGGUUGAGGCCAAGUGAGCACUCUCAGUCUUAUCACGCUGCUGCCUCUCUUCUUCUUGCACAGAGUAAGAUAUAAGCUCAUUUAGGGACCAUUUGUCCUUCUGAGUGUUAUAACUCACUUUGAAUUGCCCAAAGUACGCAGGAAGAGAGAUCAAAAUCAAGUGCACGAGCAAGUCAUCAGACAGUUCCAACUUAAGCGACUUGAGUUUUGAUGCAAGAUGAGACAUCUCCAUGAUGUACUCCCUUAUGUUCCCUUUGCCCUUAUACUUUAUGGAAACGAGUUUAGCCAAAAGGUUACUUGCCUCCAAUUUUUCGUUCUUGGCAAAGUAUUGCUCACUUUCUUCAAGGAACUUCUUGGCACUUCCGCUCUCAGAAUAGAGCCCCGAAACGCUUCCGAAAUGGAACGUUUCAUGAUCAUCAAGCACAUUCGGUCAGAGCGAUCCCACCUUUCAAUUUUACCCUUGUUGGGGUUUUCCAGAGUAGAAAUGGGUCGAUCCGAACGAAGUACAAGAUCCAAAUCCAUACAGCCAACGACAAUUUCCACAGCUUCUUUCCAAAACUUAAAGUUUGUCCCGUUCAGCAUUGGGAUGUUGUUGACUUGAGCAGAGACGUUCGCAGCAUUAACAACAGAAACUGUAUAGAGAACAAAAUAAACAACCAUGUCAAAUAAGAAAAUUAAGACAUUCACAAAUAAUCCAGAUUUUGGGAUCCAUCUCAAGAUACCUAGUACAACAUUAAUUCCUAGUCUUUGGACAGAGAAAUUAACUGUAAGUGGUACUCUUGGUGCAAUAAUCAAACAUUGACAAUCAAAAUUGUCAAAUAAUAGCCUUUCUUUGGACCGACUAUUAUUCACAUGAAAUGUCUUUAUAAUUCUCACACAUUUAUCAUCGCAAGCACGUUUUUAUUUAGCCAAACUGUGUCUUCCUUUGGGCUGAGCACAAUUCGCAUUAAUAACUCCAUACAAACAUCUAUGUAUUUUCAAUUAAAUCAAUCUACACAACAGGGGUUACUUUGGAAACAUGUUACUUUAAUCAAUUCAAUUGAAUAUACUAGACAUCCAAAGGAAUAAUCAAAACCAAAGUUUUGAAUUUAUUUUAAACCGUAAAAAAUUGGAUUCAAAAAUGGUCAAACAACCUAAAUCCAAUUCCUUCUGCCAAUGAUUGUUUCCAAUUCCUUCAUCAUCGUAAAAAAGGUAAUUUUUUUUAAUUAAUUUGACAGCACAUGUUCUGUAUCCAUUAUUGAAUCCAAUAAAAUAAAUGAAAGGUCAAACAAAGUGGCCGAUCCAAAAUCCAAAUGAUAAUCAGCCAAAAAAUCUAAGAUAGGCAGAAUCUGGAUCCACAAUGAAAAGUGAUGGAUUAUUACAAAUUUACACGCCAAAAAAUUAUGUUGCCAUACCAAAAAAAAAAAAAACACUACUGCACACAUCAUAUACUAUUCAGUAUUCAACAUUGAAUCCAUCAUCAGAGACAAUGGUAAAAAAUUGCGGCUGAAUCCUUUAUACAAUCAAGAUGCUAUAUCCAUUAUGCAAUUGUAAAAGACAAGUUAUGUCCUCAAUCCAUUAAAGUCAAAAAUUGUGGCUGUAGCCAAAAAGCAGUUGAAAUUCCGAAUCUAUAUCCAUUAAGAGAAAGAUCCAAAAUGGUAGAUGCCUAAAAGGCAGAUGAAAUUCUGCUCCCAAAAAAUUUAAAACGGACAGGGACUGAAUCUGAAAAAUAAUACUUUAAUUGUGCCAAAAAAUUUUGAAAUCCAAUUCUGCCCGAAUGCAUCAACCAACAAUUAUUGAAUCAAAUUCUGAUAUGAAGAUCAACCUCAAUUAUUCUUAAACUUAAUAAUUCAUGGAAUUUCACAAAAUACAAAUUAUUCUAUUCGAAAAUAAAUCCAAACAUCAUACGAAUAGAACAUGCACAAAUCCUAAUAAUCUAGCAAAUGAUGACCACUCUUAUACCACUUGUUAGAAAAUUCAAAUUAAAUCCAAAUAUCCUAGAUCAAAAUAACUUAAAUCCUAGGAUCAACAUCAUACCAAAUUACUAGGAUUUAUAAAUUCGGAUUAUAUACAUGUAUCCAUUAUGAACGAUUGUCUACUGUUGCAGAAUUACUGCAACAAUCGACCAUGUACUUAUGAAUCCAAAUGAAGAGAGUGGUUUUGUGAUCUUCCUCAACCGAAUCGCCUUAUUCCUUAAUAGGGCUGUGAUUUCUCUUCUUGAUUGGGAGAAGGGAAAAAGUGUGUGAUUUGGUAUACUGGGGACCAUAACUGAAAUAACCUUUAUAAACUGCUUAAUUAAGGUUCCCAUUAUCCCUCAAUUAGAGCAAUAUUGGCCGGUAUCCACUCAAUUAGCCCACAUUAAUUUGAG
rnacentral:lncRNA from 1 species